rnacentral:rRNA from 1 species
GAUGAACGCUGGCGGCGUGCCUAAUACAUGCAAGUCGAGCGAACAGAUAAGGAGCUUGCUCCUUUGACGUUAGCGGCGGACGGGGGAGUAACACGUGGGUAACCUACCUAUAAGACUGGAAUAACUCCGGGAAACCGGGGCUAAUGCCGGAUAACAUUUAGAACCGCAUGGUUCUAAAGUGAAAGAUGGUUUUGCUAUCACUUAUAGAUGGACCCGCGCCGUAUUAGCUAGUUGGUAAGGUAACGGCUUACCAAGGCAACGAUACGUAGCCGACCUGAGAGGGUGAUCGGCCACACUGGAACUGAGACACGGUCCAGACUCCUACGGGAGGCAGCAGUAGGGAAUCUUCCGCAAUGGGCGAAAGCCUGACGGAGCAACGCCGCGUGGGUGAUGAAGGUCUUCGGAUCGUAAAACUCUGUUAUUAGGGAAGAACAAAUGUGUAAGUAACUGUGCACGUCUUGACGGUACCUAAUCAGAAAGCCACGGCUAACUACGUG